CCUACGGGGGGCAGCAGUGGGGAAUAUUGGACAAUGGGCGAAAGCCUGAUCCAGCCAUGCCGCGUGUGUGAAGAAGGCCUUCGGGUUGUAAAGCACUUUCAGUGGGGAAGAAAGCCUUGGGGCUAAUACCCUCGAGGAAGGACAUCACCCACAGAAGAAGCACCGGCUAACUCCGUGCCAGCAGCCGCGGUAAUACGGAGGGUGCGAGCGUUAAUCGGAAUUACUGGGCGUAAAGCGCGCGUAGGCGGUCUGAUAAGCCGGUUGUGAAAGCCCCGGGCUCAACCUGGGAACGGCAUCCGGAACUGGCAGGCUAGAGUGCAGGAGAGGAAGGUAGAAUUCCCGGUGUAGCAGUGAAAUGCGUAGAGAUCGGGAGGAAUACCAGUGGCGAAGGCGGCCUUCUGGACUGACACUGACGCUGAGGUGCGAAAGCGUGGGUAGCAAACAGGAUUAGAUACCCCAGUAGUC
rnacentral:rRNA from 1 species